rnacentral:rRNA from 3 species
AAGGUUGACCUCGGAUCAGGUAGGAUUACCCGCUGAACUUAA